rnacentral:rRNA from 1 species
GAUGAACGCUAGCUACAGGCUUAACACAUGCAAGUCGAGGGGCAGCGGGAUUGAAGCUUGCUUCAAUUGCCGGCGACCGGCGCACGGGUGAGUAACGCGUAUCCAACCUUCCGUACACUCAGGGAUAGCCUUUCGAAAGAAAGAUUAAUACCUGAUGGUAUCUUAAGCACACAUGUAAUUAAGAUUAAAGAUUUAUCGGUGUACGAUGGGGAUGCGUUCCAUUAGGUAGUAGGCGGGGUAACGGCCCACCUAGCCUACGAUGGAUAGGGGUUCUGAGAGGAAGGUCCCCCCACAUUGGAACUGAGACACGGUCCAAACUCCUACGGGAGGCAGCAGUGAGGAAUAUUGGUCAAUGGACGAGAGUCUGAACCAGCCAAGUAGCGUGAAGGAUGAAGGUCCUACCGGAUUGUAAACUUCUUUUAUAAGGGAAUAAAACCUCCCACGUGUGGGAGCUUGUAUGUACCUUAUGAAUAAGCAUCGGCUAACUCCGUG